rnacentral:rRNA from 1 species
GAUGAACGCUAGCUACAGGCUUAACACAUGCAAGUCGAGGGGCAGCAUGAACUUAGCUUGCUAAGUUUGAUGGCGACCGGCGCACGGGUGAGUAACACGUAUCCAACCUGCCGAUGACUCGGGGAUAGCCUUUCGAAAGAAAGAUUAAUACCCGAUGGCAUAGUUCUUCCGCAUGGUAGAACUAUUAAAGAACUUCGGUCAUCGAUGGGGAUGCGUUCCAUUAGGUUGUUGGCGGGGUAACGGCCCACCAAGCCUUCGAUGGAUAGGGGUUCUGAGAGGAAGGCCCCCCACAUUGGAACUGAGACACGGUCCAAACUCCUACGGGAGGCAGCAGUGAGGAAUAUUGGUCAAUGGACGAGAGUCUGAACCAGCCAAGUAGCGUGAAGGAUGACUGCCCUAUGGGUUGUAAACUUCUUUUAUACGGGAAUAAAGUGAGGCACGUGUGCCUUUUUGUAUGUACCGUAUGAAUAAGGAUCGGCUGACUCCGUGCCAGCAGCCGCGGUAAUA